ensembl:lncRNA
UGAAGGUUGCACAUGGGAUUUUUCUAUCAUAUCUGAACUGUCCAAAACGCUGUGUACGUCAUAGGUGUUGAACACUGAUGGUGUGCUGGUGCGCGGUCAGCCCACGGACUACAAGCAUGGAUUUACGGAAAAAAAUAGGACUUUAUUAGGGUGUUUUUAUAUUUUUCUUCUAUUUUAUUUACAGUAACAUUAUAUCAUUUUGGAGUUCAUUUUUAUCACAUUUCUGAAUAGGCCUACUUUUUAAUAUCGGCAUUUGAAUCCCUUUUCUCCAUCGCUUUACAUCUGGAUCGAACGACAGGACUACAUCUCUGCAUUGGGGUGAUUUACUUGAAUCUGAGUAACUCAAAAACAUCAUGCAUGACAGGACUGUUAUGCCCCUUCAGCUGAACCAUGGUCAUCAGAUUUCAUCAUCACUGGGUUAAACCCUAACACCCUAACUAAUCACCAUGAGUUGGCGACCAGAGGCCCUCGGGACCCAGCCUGUACUGUCAGUCCUGUGGCCCAGUUCUCAAUGCAUCACCUCUGGGUUGAGGAUGAAGAUACAGAGCUAUGGUUGACCUCGUCAUCACCAGAGCGCAGGAAUCCUUUGGGAGGUCUUGUAUGUGAUCGUUCCAUUCGAGAAGUGCUGUAUCCAUAUCGACAACUUGGGAAGGACGCAGGAUAUCACGUGAAGGAUCUGGGAUUUGCCCUCAGGGAUUACUGAGUUGUAGAUAUUCCAGGGGUUGGGAGAAGGCUAGAGAGUGGGUGCCUGGCAGUCAGCCUGACAUGGAACCACGGGCUGAGGGGAGCCAGCAUCAGCACCAGAGGAGGAAGCCUGUGACACAUGCACUGGAGGACCAGAAAAAGGCUUUAGAGCAAGAUGUUGUAAGGGGGAUCCCUCCAGUAGCUGAGUUCCCGUCCCACCCUGUCCUCAUGGCUGCCAGCUGGGAGAGCAUAAUAUUGGUCACGCUUUGGUGAAGCUUCUACACUGAACUGUCUGGCUGUCUUAGGGAUUAAUUUGAUAAGUGUGUGCGAUCGCUUUUAACGAUGGCCGGAGUGAAAGGCCUGUCUUUCAACAAUGUAACGCUCAGUGUUUUAUUACAUCAGCCCCCUAAUUCACGCCUUAUGGCAACUAAUUACCUCCUGUCUCAUUGUUGGCCCUCGUUUAGCCGACCCACUUUUUUCUUUAUUUAAUUCAAUUUUCACUUUAGUCCCAGACAAGUCGUUUUUAUGAUUCAGUGUUUCUGGAUUUGUUAAAGGUACAGGUAGUUUGUUGCUUACUCAUUACAAACCUUUAAUAACCCCCCCCCCCCCACCACCCCCCAUAGUGUUUUUUUUCUGACUUGAUGCUUUGGUUUACCUCUGUUUUGAAUUAUUAAUCAGGUCUAGCUGCAGCGAUCUGAAUAAUCUCUGAUUGUGAUGGUUGUAACAUUAAUGAAUGAACUUCAUGCCUGCACAUUAGCUGCCAUAUUAGUAAUCCUCCAGGUACAAUGGGACAAUGGUUACUUAGGUUAGUAUCACUGUAGCAUGAAUGCUGUUGCAGGUAUCAUUCAUUUCCAAAGAGUCACAUGAGGCUAUUGUUUUUUUACUGUCCACCUGUUCUCCAGUUGUGACCCCCUUGAUAUUCUUUCCAGUCAUUUCAGUAGUAAAAGAUAAAGGAGAGCGUUUUGCUGAAAGAGCAGUCGGUCAGGCCUGCUUAGACCGCUGAACCAACCUAGACCACUAAAUUAAAACUUAUUGACAUUUUUUGUCCCAACCAGGUACAUAUUUUAUGACAAUUUUGCGUAUUGGUUGAAGGCUGUAAUUAUAAAAGACAUUUAACAUCUGUUUGCAUGUUCCAGCCUUGGAAUGCAUCUAGUGUACGCUCCGCCCUGCACAGCACCAUCCUGUUCAUUCUGCUGGUUCUGUUAAGGACCAGUAAAGGAUGGUGUGAUGAAGUGAAUGUGAAGUCUCAUGCUCUGCCUGCUCUUCACUUUAGGAACUGGGGUCCUGUCAAGCGCAUUAGCUGUAGCCAAUGACAUUUAACCUAAUCAGUUUAUGGGGCCCGGAAAGAACGGAAAAUUGUCCGCAGUUAUGGAGGGCCAUCGAGUGAUGCUGUCACAAGAUGUUAGGCUCUACCCACAGCCAGUCUAUCCUCAGCUCUGACUUUGACUUUACGAUUGUUUUAAUGAAGUCCUGCCAAAGUGUAAUGUUGAGGGCUCUGUGAGCUGUUAGAUGAUGUCAUUGAGUAUUUGGAGCACUAGAGGUUUACUCCUAUCUGAUUAGUCUUCUUUCAUAUUAAUAUGUAGUAAUAUGAGUUCUAUAUAUUUUUUUUUUCUUCCACAAACACCAUUAGUAAUAUUUAACUUGACUAGUAGCUAGUGGUUAUGGACUAAACAAUCACCACAUUCCUAGCCUCUCACGUGACAGGCUGGAUACAUUUUUUUAGCCUAAUUAAACCUUUAAUUGGUAAAUUCCGGGCGUACUUUUGGGACAUCCAAGGUCCAUAAUUCCAAUAACUCAGAGAAGUAAGAGUACAGGGCAGGGUGAACACUAAAGCACAGUUCCUCCGCUAGUGGCUAAUGUUACCUUGAGGAUGCUCUUUAUGACUUCACAUAAAACAGGUGUGCCCAAAACCAGUAUGCUAGAUACCUGACAGAGGAGCCGUUUGGGAGGGACGUUGAUGUUGUUUAAGAUGACACUAAGCCACCCCGAAGAUCGUUUCUUAACUGCAGUCGAGGUCACCCAGAUUCUCUCGUUUCCUUUGGCUGUAAAUCUGAUUAGACAUCUGUUCUUCUAGUUGGUGUCAUUUUCAUAUUUUUCUACCAUGCCCCAGGACUAAUCCACCUACACACACACACCACACACACCACGCACACUUUUGUAUAGCUUAAAUUAGAGCCAGGCAACUCAACUCAGCUUUGAGGGCUGAAACACUUUUAGUGUGCAUCCUCUCAAUCAGAGACCAAAAAUACAACCGUUUUUGCCCUUCAGUACUGAGGCUGUCCACCGUUGGCUGUAAACAUUCUCCUCUCAUGUAGAAUGUGUCUGUAAUAUUGUCCCUGGUCCCGGGUUGUGGGCACUUGUUUUAGUUAGGUCCUCGCCUGGUCCCCAACACCAUCUGCUGCUCUCUUGCUCCUCUCUGGUUUUCUCCAACUCUCACUGAAUGUAGACGUGGGCUGAAGAACAGGUGGUGGCUGCCUGGCAGAGGCAGAACUGUGAAGCCAGAGGGAGAGCAGGAGUAAUCCCACCACCACCAUACCUGUCUUAGUACCACUGCGUCCAUUUUGAUUUGGGAGAACAACAGACAUGUGUAAGUGUGUGCUGAGCGCUAAGUAGCCGAGAGCCUUUGAUUUUGUGGCCUCUAUGCUUUGUGAACUGCUUGAGUUCUGUUAGUGUUCUGUCGGUUGAAUGCGAACCAGGUUAUUGUGUGGCUGUGGGUGGGAUGGACGGUGCUUUAUUCAGAACAACACUUCUAUGGGUAGAUCUGUGAGACAGUGGGAUGGAUUUAUUAGACUUUGGCCUUAAUCCUACAGUAGCAUCUCCUAAUGGCCUGCUUUCAGACUACAUUUCACUGGCACCACAAAUUAUUACUAAAUGGGAAUUAUGCAAAUUAUAUUUUGAUGCACAAAUUGGGAUGAGAAAGCAUAGAUUUCUAUCUUUGUUGCAGAUGGAUAAGAUGUAUAAUAUAAAAAUGUGUUAAUUUCUAGUUUUUUAAAUCUUUUCUAAGGUUGGUCGGCACUCAGCAGGUGGUCAUUUUGCUUGCGUUAACAGAGAGGUUGGGUGAGAACGGGUGAGACAAUGGGAACAUACUUGUUUCUCAUAAUGAAUAAGAUGUGGUCAAAGGUGGCUGUCUUUUCUAUUAUGUACGGCGCUAUUCCCCUCUGGUGUUGAACUGAGGGAGAAGGGGCAUUGAGACAGGAUGGGGUGAUCGGUUGCAUACAUAGGUGAACAUGAGGUCAUUACCCCAGACCUCAGAUUACAAGAAUACAUACUCCAUCACUGUGCUAUUUCUUCUUAGUUAUGUCAAAUUCCGCAAAGGUCGUGAAGUAGCAUUUUCAUUAAAUUAAUAAUGGUAACCGGUGUCCCUGCAUUUGUGCCAUCAUUGAGAAAUAAAUAAUGUUACUUUGAAGUGAUUAGUGUAUUUAGAUGUGGUGGAGGAAGUGUGGUGUCAUACUGCAGUGAGGAAUUCAACUGGGACUUGGCGUUCAUUAUCUUAGCAACAGUCUUCCUGCACAGGAUUUACUGCAGCCACAUCCCAUUCAUAGUGAUUGCAAAAGGCCUUUUUGAAUGCCACUUGAGGUAAAGAGUUACAUUUACAAGGGGUUACAAGGUUUAGUCUACCAUUUAAAGGUCACUAUGGAUGAAAUAAAAAAACUCAGUGUUAUAAAAAGUCCUCCUUUGUAGGUACCUUUAGGUUCAAGGUAAACAAACCUUAAAACAACAAUAUGAUAUUUCCAUUGGGUUGAGGGUUUCUGUUAAAAUGAUGUAACACUGUCUUGGAUUGAGCUCCCUGAUUGGUGCAUUGGUCUGAGAUAACUGCUGGCAAAAGCCUCUGGAUGGAGAAAGCAGUGUGUACUAAGCUUGGCAAGAUGUGCAUCAGCAGAUGUCUUGAUCUUUGUCUGUCUUGCAUCUGCCAUGGAGUUCAUGUGACAAGACAAUGCCUUGUCAAGAAUUGGAUGUUACAAAAUUGUGAGUAGAAAGACAUCAGAUAAUGAUGAAGUAUUUUUUUUAAUUAAAUGGGCCAUAUGUAAGACUUAUUGUGCUAUUAGCAUAAAUACAACUAUAAAUGAACCGUUAAUGUUUUUAAAUUUAUGUUUUGAAUAUUUG